ACGACUGCUAAGACUGGAUAGGAAGAUAAAAGGCAUCUUGUAUCUUUUAAAAGACCUAGUUAAUAGGUAUGCUUUAGGAGGGGCUUGCGCCAUAUUAGUUAGUUGGUAGGGUAAUGGCCUACCAAGACGAUGAUGUGUAGCUGGACUGAGAGGUUGAACAGCCACAUUGGGACUGAGACACGGCCCAAACUCCUACGGGAGGCAGCAGUAGGGAAUUUUCGGCAAUGGAGGAAACUCUGACCGAGCAACGCCGCGUGAAUGACGAAGUACUUCGGUAUGUAAAGUUCUUUUAUCGAGGAAGAAAAGCAAAUGGCGAACCAUUUGUUUGCCGGUACUUGAUGAAUAAGCCCCGGCUAAUUAUGUGCCAGCAGCCGCGGUAAGACAUAAGGGGCAAGUGUUAUCCGGAAUUAUUGGGCGUAAAGGGUGCGUAGGCGGUCUAGUAAGUCAGUGGUGUAAUGGCAACGCUUAACGUUGUCCGGCUAUUGAAACUGCUAAACUUGAGUUAGAUAGAGGCGAGUGGAAUUCCAUGUGUAGCGGUAAAAUGCGUAAAUAUAUGGAGGAACACCAGAGGCGUAGGCGGCUCGCUGGGUCUUAACUGACGCUGAGGCACGAAAGCGUGGGGAGCAAACAGGAUUAGAUACCCUGGUAGUCCACGCCGUAAACGAUGAGUACUAAGUGUCGGGUUAAACCGGUACUGAAGUUAACACAUUAAGUACUCCGCCUGAGUAGUACGUACGCAAGUAUGAAACUUAAAGGAAUUGACGGGACUCCGCACAAGCGGUGGAUCAUGUUGUUUAAUUCGAAGAUACCCGAAAAACCUUACCAGGUCUUGACAUGUUUUUGCAAAAUGAUAGUAAUAUCGUGGAGGUUACCAGAAACACAGGUGGUGCAUGGUUGUCGUCAGCUCGUGUCGUGAGAUGUUAGGUUAAGUCCUAAAACGAGCGAAACCCUUAUCGUUAGUUGCCAGCACGUUAUGGUGGGGACUUUAACGAGACUGCCAAUGAUAAAUUGGAGGAAGGUGAGGAUCACGUCAAAUCAGCAUGCCCCUUAUGACCUGGGCUACAAACGUGAUACAAUGGCUGUUACAAAGGGUAGCUGAAACGCAAGUUCUUGGCCAAUCCCCAAAAACAGUCCCAGUCCGGAUUGAAGUCUGCAACUCGACUUCAUGAAGUUGGAAUCGCUAGUAAUCGCGAAUCAGCAUGUCGCGGUGAAUACGUUCGCGGGGUUUGUACACACCGC
rnacentral:rRNA from 1 species